rnacentral:rRNA from 1 species
CGGGAGAGGGUUGUGGAAUUCCCGGUGUAGAGGUGAAAUUCGUAGAUAUCGGGAGGAACAUCGGUGGCGAAGGCGGCAACCUGGACCGAUACUGACGCUGAGACGCGAAAGCGUGGGGAGCAAACAGGAUUAGAUACCCUGGUAGUCCACGCCGUAAACGAUGAGUGCUAAGUGUUGGAGGGUUUCGGCCCUUCAGUGCUGCAGCUAACGCAUUAAGCACUCCGCCUGGGGAGUACGACCGCAAGGUUGAAACUC